rnacentral:rRNA from 1 species
GUCUAUGGCCAUGCCACCCUGAACAAACCCGAUCUCGUCUGAUCUCGGAAGCUAAGCAGGGUCAGGCCUCGUUAGUACUUGGAAGGGAGACUACCUAGGAAGACCAGGUGCUGUAGGUG